rnacentral:rRNA from 1 species
AUUCAAAUUUCUGCCCUAUCAACUUUCGAUGGUAGGAUAGUGGCCUACCAUGGUGGCAACGGGUAACGGGGAAUUAGGGUUCGAUUCCGGAGAGGGAGCCUGAGAAACGGCUACCACAUCCAAGGAAGGCAGCAGGCGCGCAAAUUACCCAAUCCCGAUACGGGGAGGUAGUGACAAUAAAUACUGAUACAGGGCUCUUUUGGGUCUUGUAAUUGGAAUGAGAACAAUUUAAAUCCCUUAACGAGGAACAAUUGGAGGGCAAGUCUGGUGGACCUUCAGCCCAUCUGCUGACGCCAGAGAUAGUAGGGCCCCCUGACCGGAGGGGGUUAUGCCUGCUAGUCGAGCAUUCGCGAUCGCGAUGGGUGAAUGCCGGCGAGGUGACCUGGUACGGGGAAGCCUACGGCCUCCGAGGCUAUGGUAAUCCCGUGGCGAGCCCCCUUCCGGGGCCGUCGUAACGCGCGCAAAGGCACCGGUUGCCCGCCUCCGGGCGGGUGACUCNAGGGACGUGCUGUCCCAUCNNAAAGGAUGCCCGCCGCUGGAGCACCCAUCGUGCAAAGGCUGCGGGGGGCGG